UCGAUGGGUGCUAGAAAAGCUAGCCUCCUGACUAUUUAAGGUUACCACCACCGCUCAAGAGGACGAGCCAAUUCUCCUAAUCCCUUUUUUCUUCUCUCUUGGAUUCUCAAGAUUUCUAACAAUCAUCCUCAUCAUCCUGCUUUUGCCGAAAUCAUGACUUCAAACUUCCCAAAGCCACCUCCUCACCUCUUAGAUUCUUCCUCUCCCUACGGUCCCGGCACAAGGCCACUACUAUGUAUGUACUAGCC
rnacentral:lncRNA from 1 species